CCAACAUUAUUUUUGUGCAGAUUUCAAUUCAUGCUGCACUCAUCCUGGGGGCAAAAGUUAAAGGUUUUCUAAAAAGCUACUUAGUGAAUGUCUUAGUUAAUGGAAAAGAAAAUAAGUCAAUCCUUUUUUUUCUAACCUUGAAGUUGCAAAGAUUGACAAUGAACUCUGUAAUGGUGCAUUCUCCUCUUGUGUGGUUUUUGAAAGCUGAGUUAUCCUUCCUGUAAUGAUUCUGCACCUGCAAACUAUACGUGGCUUCCUCCAGGCAGUAAAUCUACAGCCCAGGCUCCCUGCAUCUUAUGGCUCCAAUCACUUUGGAUCUCAUCGUCGCCUGCACAUUGCCAUACACAGGGAAGGAGAAGAGAUGGAGAAGGCAAAGACUUUCUGAAAGCCGUGGCUAAAAGCUGGCAUGUGUCACAUCAGCUCACAUUCCAUUGUAGAGACGGGGUUUCACCGUGUUAGCCAGGAUGGUCUUGAUAUCCUGACCUCGUGAUCCGCCCGCCUUGGCUUCCCAAAGUGCUGGGAUUACAGGCGUGAGCCACCGCUCCCGGCCUGGCAGGCAUUCUUGAGGCAAACGGGAAAUGGGGUAAGUUACACAAUCGAUACAGCUCCGUCAUCGUGGUUUAAUUACUUUUCCACGUACCAUGUUUCCUGACAGGUAGAACGAUCAGCCUGGGCCUCCGUUUUUCAUUCUACAAAGAAUGAAGUGCAUGAACUGUCCUCUAUAGAAUUGUGGAAAAAGUUGUUUUUAUUGAGUUGUGGUUAUCUUUGUCUUCAUGGUCUAAUUACGGAAAUAAAUGCUUUUCCGAGUCUCCGGGGAUGGUCUGCCCUAGUCCAGCUCUCUGCAGUGUCUUUCUGGGUUUUUCCUCAGUGAACGGGAGGAACAUUGGCAGCACUUGUGGUCUGCACCAAGAACUGAAUCGAAUUUCCAUGUGUUAUUGAAUGUUCACAAAGACCUUGUACAGCGAGUGUUACUACCUCUGGUCAAUGAUUCAACUCAAGGCUCAGAAAAGUCAAGUGUCUUGUCCAGGGACACUUAGUCAGAAGUGAAUCCAAGGUUUAAGCUCAAGUCUGCCUAACUCUGAAUUUCACAGCCUUUUGCUACAUAUGGCGAAUAAUAUAUCCCUGAGCACUAAAGGCAGACUCCAAGGAUCUUGUCUCUGCAAUCAUCAUUCUGGCCAUAAUUUAUGAAAAGCAACCCAAAGUAUGUGAUGUAAUAAAAAGUACUAUCUAUGAGUUUACCCUUCCAAAAAUUGAACUGAAUUCUGAGCUCUAAAUUUGGAAUCAAAAGAACUUUUCUCUGCACUAAUCAUUUGGAACAUCACUUAAAGAAAACAACGAAAAACUGGUGUCCCCUGAGAGAAAGCAAUACAAAACAUUAUGCAUAAAGAAAUCCUUCCAAAAAAUAAACCAAAUCCAGUCAAAUCUCUAGUUUUGACUCCUAGCUUACCGGAAAUACGUGAUGGGAAAAAAAUGAAAUGACACCACUAUGAUUCAAUCAGCCAAAUCCAGCAUAUGCAAAUUUCUACCAGAUAAAUGGUUUAGUUUCUUCCCCAAACAAAUGGCACAAGGAAACGGAGGUAAGAAUGGGAUGCUGUUAUAGAUUUUAAAAGAUUUAAGAAAGUAUAAACUAAAUACACUAUGUGCAUCCUCUCUGAACGUGCUUCAAACAUAUCAAGGGGUCAAUGAGCAGUUUUGAAACAAUAAGGGAAUUUGAACACUGAAUGGUUGUCAGAAGAUAGUAAGAGAUCAUUAUUAAUUUUACUAGACAUAAUGAUGUUCUGAUUUUGUUUUUUUUUUAAAAAAAAAACAGUGUUAUUUCCUUUAUAGAUACAUCAUAUAGUAUUAACUAAUGAAAUGCUUUGAUAUCUGGAACGUUUAAAAAAUAUUCCCGAUGGAGUAAGUGCAAAGAAACAGGUAAGCAAAAUGCUGAUAAUUGCUGAAACACAGGAUGUGUACCUGGGGCUUCAUUUACUAUCUCUUCAUUUUCUAUUUUGAUAUUUGUUGGACAUUCUCAUAAAAAGGAAAGUUAUGUUUUAUUUUCUCAUAAGCUAGUAAUGAAAUAGCCCUACGUAACUGAUAUUGUAGAGACAAGAAUAGGUGUAAUAGAGCUUAAGGUUUUCAUUUAAAAAACUAUCUGUAGACUUCAAUGGAUCUUAGGUGGCAUCCAUGCAAUAACACUCGUGGAACAUGCAGGACAGGUGUGGAGCUCCAUCUUCACACAGUGACAUUUUUUAUGCUUCUGUUUUCCCUAAGAGUGGAGUGAGAGGAUGAUUAUUUUAUAUCAUGGACUUCUUCCCUGCUAUACUUUUUUUAAUUAUUUUACUUUCACUUCUGGGAUACAUGUGCUGAGCAUGCAGGCUUGUUUACAUAGGUAUACAUCUGCCAUGGUGGUUUGCUGCACCUAUCAACCCAUCAUACAGGUUUUAAGCCCUGCAUGCAUUAGGUAUUCGCCCUAAUGCUCUCCCUCGCCUUUCCCCCCACCCCCUGAUAGCCCCCAGUGAGUCAUAUUCCCCUCCCUGUGUCCAUGUGUUCUCAUUGUUCAACUCCCAUUUAUGAGUGAGAAUAUGUGGUGUUUAGUUUUCUGUUCCUGUGUUAGUUUGCUGAGAAUGAUGUUUUCCAGCUUCAUCCAUGUCCCUGAAAAGGACAUGAGCUCAUUCUUUUUUAUGGCUGCAUAGUAUUCCACGGUGUUAUAUGUGCCACAUUUUCUUAAUCCAGUCUGUCAUUGAUGGACAUUUGGGUUGUUUCCAAGUCUUUGCUAUUGUAAAUAGUGCUGCAAUAAACAUAUGUGUGCAUGUGUCUUUGUAGUAGAAUGAUUUAUAAUCCUUUGGGUAUAUGCCCAGUAAUGGGACUGAUGGGUCAAAUGGUAUUUCUGGUUCUAGAUCCUUGAGGAAUUGCCACACUGUCUUCCACAAUGGUUGAACUAAUUUAUACUCCCACCAACAGGGUAAAAGCAUUCCUAUUUCUCCACAUCCUCUCCAGCAUCUGUUGUUUCCAAAUGUUUUAAUGAUUGCCAUUCCACCUGGCGUGAGAUGGUAUCUCAUUGUGGUUUUGAUUUUCAUUUCUCUAAUGACCAGUGAUGAUAAGCUUUUUUUCAUAUGUUUGUUGGCCACAUAAAUGUCUUCUUUUGACUUUUAUGUGGAAACAAAUUUAACUGCACAGAGAGGUGAAAAUUAAUUAAUAACUUUUAAAGUAAUUCCCUAAGUUUCUAAGGAUCUAUAUGUUUCCAUCUGACUUUAUUUUAUUUAAGCUCUUGAUUGAUGCUGCAUUUGGAGCAGGUUCAUGAACAUGAAUAGAGUUAAUCUGGGACAGAUUUCCCUCAUUUGAUUUUUUCACUGUUUCCAUCACAGAACUUAUUUCAUGCUCACCAUGUUUGCAGGCAUUGAGCUUGGUACUGGAGCCACAGAGCUGGAUCAGACAGACUUGUGCAAAUAUUUCAGGUUUUUUUUGUGGGGGGGUCAUAUUUAUAGAUAAAUAACAGUAAAGAGUGACGGGUUCUUAUGAAAAUGCAUACACAGUGAAGUAGAGGGUGAAAAGGAGGGAUGUGUUCUAUGAGGAGGAAGAGUGAUAAGAAAGUGUAAGGGGAUGUGUCUGUGUCUAGACAUAUGUGUGUUCACGUGUGUGCGUGCUUGUGUGUACUGCAUGUGUAUAUGUGUGGCCAUGCACCUGUGUGCAUGUUCAUGUGUGUGUGUGUAUGUGUCUGUGUUGAGGACUAAAUUAAUUGGGCUUAUGGAAGCAGGGAGCCACUGAUAGGUUUAAUUAGAGACUGACAUGAUAUGAUAGUUUAGGUGGAUUUCUCUGGGGGCUGUGUUGAGGGACAGUGGGGAGGAGAGCUAGAAGGAAGAAAAGGACACAUGCAUAACAGAAGCAAUAUCUGUCUAUGGGAUGGUGGAAAGAAUCAGAAAAGACUUAAUAAAACAUGUGACACUUUAACUGAAUCUUGAAAUAGACAAGUGUUGGAGGAGGGAGUUGGACCAGAUACUUCAUGCAAAGGGAAGAAAAGUGCACAAACAAAAUAUGAGAAACAAGGCAGACAGGCAUUUUUUUAAAAUUUUCGCACCCACUGAUAGACCAGUGAUGCAUUCACAUCGUCUGCAUUCAUGAUCAACAAAAGUGCUUUCCUAGAACAUGAACCUCAACCCAAGUGUCGCCUCAAGUAGUGUAUGCAUGAACUCAAGCAUUAAAUUAGAAUUGAUUUUUUAAAAAACUCACACAAACAGAUGUAUUAUUUAAAAAUCUUUAAAGCAGGUUUAAACAGUUUUCAGGAUUAAAAGCAGCCACUAUUAGAAAGAACAAAAAUACAUUUGACAUAAAUAUAAGGAGCCUCAAUAGAACCUCCUGUACCCAGUCAUUGUCAAUGCCACAUCCAUUCAUUCACCAGCCCUUAUAUCAAUGCUUGCUGGGCUCACUUACCACGAUCAGCACGUGCAUGUCCUUAUCUGAAAGCUUGCCACUCAAAUGUGCUCAGUCUUACCUGUGUGGCUGGGAGUGUUGGGGAUUUAAUGUCAAGGGAAAGAAUCUUCCAUCAAUGAAUGAUGAAAGUUAGUUUUCACAACUUCCGGUCCCCUUGGCCCUCAUCAAAGGGCUCCAGGUGAGGUUUGGGCUCCUUGCUAUCCUCCGAGUUUCCACGGUAGUUUUAAGCACCAUUGCCCGUGGUAAUGGCUGACAUUGAUACUGCACUUUUUUUUUAUUUAAGAUGGAGUUCCCCUCUGCCACCCAGACUGGAGUACAGUGGCGCGAUCCUGGCCAUCGCAACCUCCGCCUCCCAGGUUCAAGCGAUUCUCCUGCCUCAGUCUCUCAAGUAGCUGGGAUAUGGGCACCUGUCACCAUGCCCAGCUAAUUUUUUUAAAAUUUAUUUUUAGUAGAGAUGGGGUUUCACCAUGUUGGCCAGGCUGGUCUCGAACUCCUGACCUCAGGUGAUCCACCCACACUUUUUAUUGUUUGCCUACACUUUCUAGACUUGCUUCAUCAGCCUACUCCGUUUCUGGUUGAUAUGGUUUGGUUGUGUCCCCACUCAAAUCUUAUCUAGAAGUGUAAUCCCCAAGUCUCAAGGGAGGGACCUGGUGUGAGGUGAUUGGAUUGGGGGGUGGUUCCCGCCAUGCUGUUCUCAUGAUAGUGAGUGAGUUCUCAUGAGAUCUGAUGGUUUUAUAAGGCAGUUUUCCCUAUUCUUGCUCACUCUUCUCUCUCUUUCUGCCAUGUGAAGAAGGUCCUUGCUUCCCCUUCACCUUCUACCAUGAUUGUAAGUUUCCUGAGGCCUCCCCUCAGCCAUGCACAACUGUGAGUCAAUUAAACCUCUUUCCUUUAUAAAUUACUCAGUCUCAGGUCGUAUCUUUAUAGCAGUAUGAGAAUGGACUAAUACACUGGUCUAUCCUUCAUCCAAAUUAACUACCUGCACUGCAGUCCUUGUCUCAGGCUCUGCUUUGAGGGACCCCAACUGUGACAGCCGCAUUAGAAUGCAUCACAUACUGCAGUGAAAUUCUAGAGUGGGUGUUGUCAGGUGGUGAUGAUUGUUAGAUAUGUCAGUCUGUUUUCAGGCUGCUGAUAAAGACAUACCUGAGACUGGGUAAUUUAUAAAGGAAAAGGAGGUUUAAUGGACUCACAGUUCCACAUGGCUAGGGAGGCCUCACAAUCAUGGCAGAAGGUGAAAGGCACGGCUUACAGGGUGGCAGCAAGAGAGGAAAUGAGAACCAAGUGAAAAGGUUUCUGCUUAUAAAACCAUCAGCUCUUGUGAGACUUAUUCAUUACAAUGAGAACAAUAUGGGGGAAACUGCCCCCAUGAUUCAAUUAUCUCCCACCAGAUCCCUCCUACAACACAUGAGAAUUGUGGGUGCUACAAUUCAAGAUGAGAUUUGAGUGGGGACAAAGUCAAACCAUAUCAUUAGAUAGGACACUGGAGAAAGGCAAGAAAGAAAAGACAUCUGAAGAAUGAAGGGAGCCAAAGAAAUGCCAACAUUUUGCUUUUUGAAGAAAAGCUAAAUUAAAGUCAAAAUGGAUUUAUCAAUUUCCUUGGGUUCGUGAAUGUACAGAACUUUAUUAAGACUGUCAUGCUGUCAUCAUGGCUGGAUCUGAUACGGCCACCGUGGACCUUGAGGUGACCUCGGGAAUGGAGACAGUGCAUGGGAGAGAAUCACAUUGGAAGGGGCCUGGGUUUCUGAAGACCCUGUAAGACAGAUCUCCUUGCAGCCCUGACUGCCCACAUUAGGGCUUUUAUGUUAGGGUGAAGUUACCUUGCAUUGUCAUAUAAGCAAUUGCUAUUUGUGGUGUCUUGCAAAUAAACCUAUUCUGAUCUAGUAUGUUUCCUAA
rnacentral:lncRNA from 1 species